UACGGAGGAUGCAAGCGUUAUCCGGAAAUGAUUGGGCGUAAAGCGUCCGCAGGUGGCAAUGUAAGUCUGCUGUCAAAGCGUCUGGCUCAACCAGAUAAAGGCAGUGGAAACUACAUAGCUAGAGUAAGGUAGGGGUAGAGGGAAUUCCUGGUGUAGCGGUGAAAUGCGUAGAGAUCAGGAAGAACACCGGUGGCGAAAGCGCUCUGCUGGACCUUAACUGACACUCAGGGACGAAAGCUAGGGGAGCGAAUGGG
rnacentral:rRNA from 1 species